GACGAACGCUGGCGGCGUGCUUAACACAUGCAAGUCGAACGGAAAGGCCCCUUUGGGGGUACUCGAGUGGCGGACGGGUGAGUAACACGUGCGUAACCUGCCCUUGACUUCGGGAUAACUUCAGGAAAAUGGGGCUAAUACCGGAUCGGAAUCCUUGCUGCAUGGUGGGGGUUGGAAAGCUUCGGCGGAUUUGGAUGGACUCGCGGCUUAUCAGCUUGUUGGUGGGGUAGUGGCUUACCAAGGCGUUGACGGGUAGCCGGCCUGAGAGGGCGACCGGCCACAUUGGGACUGAGAUACGGCCCAGACUCCGACGGGAGGCAGCAGUGGGGAAUAUUGCACAAUUGGCGGAAGCCUGAUGCAGCAACGCCGCGGGCGGGAUGACGGCCUUCGGGUUGUAAACCGCUUUCAGCAGGGGCGAAGCUUGUGGUGACGGUACCUGCAGAAGAAGCACCGGCUAACUACGUG
rnacentral:rRNA from 1 species